CCGGGCCAGUGAAUCGUUCGUUUCUACGCAUGGCUGUUUUUCCAAUUAUUUUUUUUUUCUUUCCUUUUCAUACGCGCGACAAUCACAUCAGGCUUAUGAGUCCGGAGGUGGAUGUGAAUCGUAAUAGAUAUUCCGUUUCGCUGAAAUAACAGAGACGCGUGUCAUGUUUGCGUCGUGAAUUGUGCAUGAAGAAUCGUACUCUUGAUUGCCGCGUCGAUUGUAGUCGACAGCAAAACGUGGGAAAUAUUAAUUGG